GACGAACGCUGGCGGCGUGCUUAACACAUGCAAGUCGAACGGAAAGGCCCUGCUUUUUUGGGGUGCUCGAGUGGCGAACGGGUGAGGAACACGUGAGUAACCUGCCCUUGACUUUGGGAUAACUUCAGGAAACUGGGGCUAAUACCGGAUAGGAGCUCCUGCUGCAUGGUGGGGGUUGGAAAGUUUCGGCGGGUGGGGAUGGACUCGCGGCUGAUCAGCUUGUUGGUGGGGUAGUGGCUUACCAAGGCUUUGACGGGUAGCCGGCCUGAGAGGGUGACCGGCCACAUUGGGACUGAGAUACGGAGCAGAGUCCUACGGGAGGCAGCAGUGGGGAGUAUUGCACAAUGGGCGGAAGCCUGAUGCAGAAACGCCGCGUGCGGGAUGACGGCCUUCGGGUUGUAAACCGCUUUCGCCUGUGACGAAGCGUGAGUGACGGUAAUGGGUAAAGAAGCACCGGCUAACUACGUG
rnacentral:rRNA from 1 species